UACGUAGGGUGCGAGCGUUGUCCGGAUUUAUUGGGCGUAAAGCGCGUGUAGGCGGCUGGGUAGGUCCGUUGUGAAAACUCGAGGCUCAACCUCGAGACGCCGAUGGAAACCCUCCAGCUAGAGUCCGGAAGAGGAGAGUGGAAUUCCUGGUGUAGCGGUGAAAUGCGCAGAUAUCAGGAAGAACACCCGUGGCUAAGGCGGCUCUCUAGUACGGUACUGACGCUGAGACGCGAAAGCGUGGGGAGCGAACAGG
rnacentral:rRNA from 1 species